GUCAGGAUGGCCGAGUGGUCUAAGGCGCCAGACUCAAGGUUUGUUCUUUCCCGAUCAAAGGGUGUUCUGGUCUCCAGAUGGAGGCGUGGGUUCAAAUCCCACUCCUGACA
rnacentral:tRNA from 1 species